GAAAAGGCAACGCCGGCUGUUAGCUUUGCUGUUGCCCUCGGCGAGCACUGCUCUACGGGCCAGGCGUGCUCUGGUGCCACCACCUCCUUGCUCCGGGGAUCUGCUCAGUUUGGCGACUGCAUUUCGAGAGUUGGAUCAGCAGCUCAGCCUGCAGAUGCCCAAUAAAUGGAACCAUCACCAGAGAAGCAACAGGGAUGUGCAGCCAGAGUCAGGCUGGGAUCACCUCUUUUGACAGAAAUAUCAUCUUGGGCGUGAGGCCAAAGUGCUUGCACCAGCGCCGCUACCAUGAGAGAAGACGAACGUUUUGGAUACUUUAAGCAGAGGAGGAGUCAGAG